rnacentral:rRNA from 1 species
GGAGGUCCGAACCCACGAGCGUUGAAAAGCUCGGGGAUGACUUGUGGGUAGCGGUGAAAUUCCAAUCGAGCCCGGAGAUAGCUGGUUCUCCCCGAAAUAGCUUUAGGGCUAGCCUCAAGGUGAGAGAUACGGAGGUAGAGCACUGAAUGUCCUAGGGGGUAUUGCACCUACCGAAGACUAUCAAACUCCGAAUGCCGUCAUCUUAUACUUGGGAGUCAGACUGUGGGUGAUAAGAUUCAUAGUCGAAAGGGCAACAGCCCAGAUCGUCAGCUAAGGUCCCUAAAUGUAAGUUAAGUGGUAAAGGAUGUGGGAUUGCACAGACAACCAGGAUGUUGGCUUAGAAGCAGCCACUCAUUCAAAGAGUGCGUAAUAGCUCACUGGUCGAGUGAUCCUGCGCCGAAGAUUUCCGGGGCUAAAACUUACUACCGAAGCUACGGCAUCAGUAAUGAUGGGUAGGGGAGCUUCCCAUACGGGUUGAAGCAUGACCGUAAGGACAUGUGGACAGUAUGGGAGUGAGAAUGUUGGCAUGAGUAGCGAGAUGUGGGUGAGAAUCCCACAGGCCGUAAACCCAAGGUUUCCAGGGGAAGGUUCGUCCGCCCUGGGUUAGUCGGGACCUAAGCUGAGGCCGAAAGGCGUAGGUGAUGGACAACAGGUUGAUAUUCCUGUACUACCGAUAACCGUUUGAGAGAUGGGAUGACACAGUAGGAUAAGCUAAGCACACUGUUGGUUAUGUGUGCCCAAGCAUUGAGGCAGUCCAAGUAGGCAAAUCCGCUUUGAUAAUGCUGGGAUGUGAUGGGGAGCGAAAUUUAGUAGCGUAGUAGCUGAUUUCACACUGUCAAGAAAAGUCUCUAUCGAGGUUAAAGGUACCCGUACCGCAAACCGACACAGGUGGGUGAGGAGAGUAUCCUAAGGCCA